rnacentral:rRNA from 1 species
UGCUCGAGUGGCGAACGGGUGAGUAACACGUGAGUAACCUGCCCUUGACUUUGGGAUAACUUCAGGAAACUGGGGCUAAUACCGGAUAGGAGCUCCUGCUGCAUGGUGGGGGUUGGAAAGUUUCGGCGGUUGGGGAUGGACUCGCGGCUUAUCAGCUUGUUGGUGGGGUAAUGGCUUACCAAGGCUUUGACGGGUAGCCGGCCUGAGAGGGUGACCGGCCACAUUGGGACUGAGAUACGGCCCAG